rnacentral:rRNA from 1 species
CAAUAGCGUAUAUUUAAGUUGUUGCAGUUAAAAAGCUCGUAGUCGGAUUUUGGCUGAGAACGAUCGGUCCGCCGUUAGGUGUGCACUGAUUGGUCUCAGCUUCCUGGUGAGGAGGUGUGCUUCACGGCCACUUAGUCACCGUGGUUACUUUGAAAAAAUUAGAGUGUUCAAAGCGGGCUUACGCUUGAAUAUAUUAGCAUGGAAUAACACCAUAGGACUCCUGUCCUAUUUCGUUGGUCUCGGGACGGGAGUAAUGAUUAAGAGGAACAGUUGGGGGCAUUCGUAUUUCAUUGUCAGAGGUGAAAUUCUUGGAUUUAUGAAAGACGAACUUCUGCGAAAGCAUUUGCCAAGGAUGUUUUCAUUAA